AUUGAACGCUGGCGGCAUGCUUUACACAUGCAAGUCGGACGGCAGCACAGAGAAAGCUUGCUUCUUGGGUGGCGAGUGGCGAACGGGUGAGUAACAUAUCGGAACGUACCGAGUAAUGGGGGAUAACUAAUCGAAAGAUUAGCUAAUACCGCAUAUUCUCUGAGGAGGAAAGCAGGGGACUUCGGGCCUUGCGUUAUUCGAGCGGCCGAUAUCUGAUUAGCUAGUUGGUGGGGUAAAGGCCUACCAAGGCGACGAUCAGUAGCGGGUCUGAGAGGAUGAUCCGCCACACUGGGACUGAGACACGGCCCAGACUCCUACGGGAGGCAGCAGUGGGGAAUUUUGGACAAUGGGCGCAAGCCUGAUCCAGCCAUGCCGCGUGUCUGAAGAAAGGGCUUCGGGUUGUAAAGGACUUUUGUCAGGGAAGAAAAGGCUGUUGCUAAUAUCGACAGCUGAUGA
rnacentral:rRNA from 1 species